rnacentral:ncRNA from 1 species
AUUAAAAAAGAGAGAGAGAGAGGGUUAGCAUUUCCCUUGAUCAGGAGGAAAAAUGUUCUAGUGACUUUUACAAUACAUAUAUAAUUAAGGCAUUGCCACCUACCCUAUAGCAUCCAACUGUGCUAUGAU